rnacentral:rRNA from 1 species
CCUACGGGUGGCAGCAGUGGGGAAUAUUGGGCAAUGGGCGCAAGCCUGACCCAGCAACGCCGCGUGAAGGAAGAAGGCUUUCGGGUUGUAAACUUCUUUUCUGAGGGACGAAGAAAGUGACGGUACCUCAGGAAUAAGCCACGGCUAACUACGUGCCAGCAGCCGCGGUAAUACGUAGGUGGCAAGCGUUAUCCGGAUUUAUUGGGUGUAAAGGGCGUGUAGGCGGGAAAGCAAGUCAGAUGUGAAAACUCAGGGCUCAACCCUGAGCCUGCAUUUGAAACUGGUUUUCUUGAGUGCUGGAGAGGCAAUCGGAAUUCCGGGGGUAGCGGGGAAAUGCGGAGAUAUAAGGAGGAACACCAGUGGCGAAGGCGGAUUGGUGGAAAGGAACUGACGCUGAGGCGCGAAAGCGUGGGGAGCAAACAGGAUUAGAUACCCCAGUAGUC